rnacentral:rRNA from 1 species
UCAGGCCUACGGGACGCAGAAGUGAGGAAUAUUGGUCAAUGGACGAGAGUCUGAACCAGCCAAGUAGCGUGAAGGAUGACUGCCCUAUGGGUUGUAAACUUCUUUUAUAAAGGAAUAAAACGAGGCACGUGUGCCUUUUUGCAUGUACUUUAUGAAUAAGGAUCGGCUAACUCCGUGCCAUCAGCCGCGGUAAUACGGAGGAUCCGAGCUUUAUCCGGAUUUAUUGGGUUUAAA